CCUACGGGAGGCAGCAGUGGGGAAUAUUGCACAAUGGGGGAAACCCUGAUGCAGCAACGCCGCGUGAGUGAAGAAGUAUUUCGGUACGUAAAGCCCUAUCAGCAGGGAAGAAAAUGACGGUACCUGACUAAGAAGCCCCGGCAAACUACGUGCCAGCAGCCGCGGUAAUACGUAGGGGGCAAGCGUUAUGCGGAUUUACUGGGGGUAAAGGGAGCGUAGACGGCAGCACAAGUCUGGAGGGAAAUCCCAUGGCUUAACCAUGGAACUGCUUUGGAAACUGUGCAGCUAGAGUGCGGGAGAGGUAAGCGGAAUGCGUAGGGUAGCGGUGAAAUGCGUAGAUAUUAGGAGGAACACCGAUGGCGAAGGCGGCCUGCUGGACUGUGACUGACGUUGAGGCCCGAAGGCGUGGGGAGCAAACAGGAUUAGAUACCCUUGUAGUC
rnacentral:rRNA from 1 species